CUCUCUUCUUCUAUCCUCACACCUUUCUGCUCUCACUCCUUCACUCACGUUUUUAGCACACACAUGCGCCUGAAACAAUACAAGCACUCAAAAUUGCUAGAUUUUGAAAAUGUGGAAAAAUAAAAUCCAAAGAGCUUCAAACGAAAGUUGAAAACUAAAAUUAAAAGGCCUGCUUUCAAUUUCUUCCGGUUUUGGAGUCAAUUUCCGGGUCUGUUGAAGGAACUUUGUUGGUGUUUGUUCGCUGUUGGGAGCUCAAAAUUCAUCUUCUAUUUUAGACCCUUGCUUGUUGUAAUCAGUUUAUUUUCGGCUAUUUAGGUAUGUAUACAUCUACCUGAAAUCCUCUUUUGAAUGUGAAUGAGUAUUGGGAUUUUUGACUCUAUGAAUAUGUUCGAUUUUUCUGUGUCCUUUCUGUUCGACUAGCAGAUCUGUCUUGCUUCUAUCUGUCGACAAUUGAUUAAGAUUGAUGAACUAAUAUUAGUAAUGAUAUGCUUCCCCUUAGAUGCCACGCCUUUUACUUCUAGCAAAAUGAAACAUUUUCAGCUAAGAUGGAUUUGAGGAGAUUCCAGUAAUUUAAUAGUGUGUCAUACGUGUGAGUUCUAGACCAUGGGAUUACAUAUUUGGUCUUACAAACAUUUGUUUGAUCUGAAAAGUCAUCAUGGAGCCUUGAACACAAUAUGGAUAUACCAAAGUGUAUAGAUCAUAGAUGUGUGAAUAUAUGCAAUUUGUUUGUAAAUGUUUUCUUUAGAAACUUAAUCAGAUAUUGAUCUCUUUAGAAUUCUGUGUUGACUCUCUAAAAUAUGAAACAAUGGACUAUACAAAUUAGGAGUCUGUUAAUCUUGAUGCAGUUAGUUGUCCAACAACACCACAGAAGUCACUACAUUUCUCUUUCUAACACUAAUGUCUAAGUGUACGGUGAUUUAAAAUUUGUUUAUUUUACAAAUCGUUAAGGAUGAUCCAAGAUAUUGGAAAGUCAGUGAACUUAUUAAUUUAGUGUUAUGCAUACCUAGCAUUCAGUGCUCUUGGGGAACCUUAUAAUUGCAGAUGCCUCUAGGUUAGUUUUUAAUCAAAUUAUCGUGAUUACGUACACGUUCGCGUGACAUAAUUAUAAUCCUAAAAACAAAUUCGGAUUAUGCGUUCGCGCAACUUCGAUCAAGCUUUCUUAGCAAUAAAAUUGUUUCUAAUUGGUCGCUAAUUAAAUUUAGUUCAUAUAGUCUGAGGUGUGCCAUCCACAUUUUAAUCAUACAUGACCCUCGUAUUAAUUUCAUAACCUAGUUAUAAAAAAUGAAUUUCGUAGUUUGCUUUAGGCACAUAAUUUAAAAUUACCUUCCUAAACUCGGGUGUGCAUUUCAUGUAACCCAAAUCCAAAUCUUAACAACGUUAAAUAAAAUGCGCCUCGGACUGCGGGUGCAUUUCAUGUGGCAUGGUUCAAAGAUGUGUUUUAGAUGACGUUGAAAUCUUCCUUAAAAUAGCGGUUUAAAGCUAAGAUGCACAUAAGUUCAAAAUGUUUUUAAAUCAGAUAACAUGCCAAAUGUAAUAGUUGGGCGACCAUGCUAGAACCACGGAACCCGGGAAUGCCUAACACCUUCUCCCGGGUUAACAGAAUUCCUUACCCAGAUUUUCUGUGUUCGCGGACUGUAAUACAGAAUUAAUAUUUUCCUCGAUUCGGGAUUUGUAACUUGGGACACGAUAAAUUAUCCCAAGUGGCGACUCUGAUUUUAAAUAAAAUAAUCCCGUUUCGAUUGUCCUUUAAUUGGAAAAAACUCCCUUAUACCUUUCCCGGGGGGUGUAGGUAAAAAGGAGGUGUGACACUAGGUUGUUAACUGAUACAAUAUUUGGCUCAUUAUCUCUUCAUGCGCCGAUGUGAUUUUAUCAGUACUUCUAUGAUUAGAUGGUACCAUUGCUGUGUACUUGUGAAAUUCAUGAAUUGAGUAUGUUAUUAGCGAGUAUCAUUGAUAAUUCUUGCCACUAUUAUCUCGUAAUGGUUAGUUACGAUACUUGAUGAUUACAUAGGGUUGAUUAUACUCAUACUACGCUCUGCACUUAAUUGUCCAGAUCCAGGUGUUGGACCCACUUGUCAACUGUUGUGAUUUUGCUGUGAGUUGCUGAGAGACGAGGUAGAGCUGCAUUUCGACC
rnacentral:lncRNA from 1 species